AAUAAAUGCAAAUAAAAAUUUUUAUUUAAAGUUAAAAUGUAAAUUAAAAUUUUUAAUUAAAUUUAUUAGGUUAAAUUUUAAAUUUAAAAAAUUAUUUAAUUUAAGAUUAUUUUAAGCUUAGAAAUUUUAUUAUUAAACUAGGAUUAGAUACCCUAUUAUAAAAAAUGUAAAUUUGAAAAAAUAGAGUAGUAUUAGUUAUAUUCUUAAAACUUAAUAAAUUUGGCGGUAUUUUAAUCUAUUCAGAGGAACUUGUUUUAUAAUUGAUAAUCCUCACUAUAUCUUACUUAAUUUAUUUAAUUUGUAUACCAUCGUCAUAAGAAUCUCUUAAAAAAGAAAAAAUUUUCUUAAUAAUUUAUUAAUUUAAAUGUCAGAUCAAGGUGCAGUUUAUAAUUAAGAAAAAAUGAGUUACAAUAAAAUUAUUUAAACGAAUUUUAAAUUUUAAUAUUUAAAUGAAGGUGGAUUUGAUAGUAAAUUUAAUUAAAAAGUUAAGUUGAUUUUAGUUCUAAAAUAUGCACAUAUCGCCCGUCGCUCUCGUUAUUUAAAAUGAG
rnacentral:rRNA from 1 species